rnacentral:misc_RNA from 1 species
GAUGAAGAACGUAGCGAAAUGCGAUAAUUAAUGUGAAUUGCAGAAUUCAGUGAAUCAUCGAAUCUUUGAACGCACAUUGCGCCCGCCAGCAUUCUGGCGGGCAUGCCUGUUCGAGCGUCAUUUCAACCCUCGAGCCCCCCCGGGGGCCUCGGUGUUGGGGGACGGCACACCAGCCGCCCCCGAAAUGCAGUGGCGACCCCGCCGCAGCCUCCCCUGCGUAGUAGCACACACCUCGCACCGGAGCGCGGAGGCGGUCACGCCGUAAAACGCCCAACUUUCUUAGAGUUGACCUCGGAUCAGGUAGGAAUACCCGCUGAACUUAAGCAUAUCAAUAAGCGGAGGA